UUCUUCCAUCUCUCGUUUUGCCUCUGCUUGCCAUCUAUUUCUAUCUCGUUGCUCCAAACAAGCAAUGUGAUUUUUGUGGUUUUCGACAAAGAUUGAUGCAAUUGGACGUUUAUCAGGCGCAAAGAUGAAAUCUUUUUUGUCUUUUAUAUUGCUAUGUUUAAUGUAAAUGAAUUUAAUUGAAUCCGUGCCCGCCGUAGUGGGAGAGAGGACAAUAGGUGGCGACGAGAGACGACGAUAUUGUUCAAGUUUCUCUUUGGGUUUUCCUGAUUCAGUGUGCUCAUACAUGCAAAGCUUCUGAGUUCGGGCUGCGAGUGACGUUCUUCUUUAUCAUUAUCGUACAUUAUAUGCCCUUUCGAUUAAUCAUCAUAAAAUUGCUGUUAAAUUUGGUAGUUUGUACGGCCUUGCAGGCUCUACUCGUUGCAAGAAGCUGUGGACAUGUCCACCACCGUAGCCAUCAUACGCUUCCAGGAAAUUUAUAAGGUUACUCCCCAGGGCCUCUCCUUAUCAAAUGUGGAGUAGGUCAUUUUCUUCUGAGAAUGGCAACUUGGUUGAUGCUGUCGUUCCGUUCAUGGGUGAAUCUAUCAACGAUUGAACUUUAGCAACCUUCUUAAAAAGCAUGUCGUUUCUCUGCUCUCACUGGAUGCAUAUAAGCAUAGUGGUGCAUGCUUUUGCAGGUGUAUGCCUGUAUGCACAAACGUUAUAAGCUCACCAUUCACUGAAGAGACUUGUUAAGUUCAAAAAGCUAGAGUCCGGUGAUAGGGUUGAAGCUGAUGAACCAAUUGCUCAGAUUGAGACUGAUAAGGUGACCAUUGAUGUAAAUAGUCCUGAAGCUGGGAUUAUCCAAAAGUUUAUAGCCAAGGAAGGUGAUACUGUCACACAAGGAACCAAGGUUGCUGUGAUAUCUAAGUCUUCCCCUGGCGACACAUGUUGCCUCAUCAGAUGAUAAAGUGGUCAAGAUGCUCGACAACCAUCUCCUCCUGCAGAUUCUCCACGACCAGGUCCUACAGCAGAGAAGAUUGACAAACAAGUGCUUAAAGUAUCCUCUGCUGUACUCCCCAAAUCCUCACCUUCAGAACCUCAACUAACUCCCCAAGGAAAGGGAAAGAUGAGUUCCAAUGCCAAGGCUUAGAAAAAGGGUGACCACAUGUUUGAAGGAUUCUCAGAACUCAUUGCAACGUUAACAACAUUCAAUGAAGUUGACAUGUAAGUGUUGCAUACUAAUUCGUUGAAGCCCCUUAUGCACAUGUUUAUCAGGUUAUUGUGAUCUGAACAUGAUGAGAUCAGAUUGUUGAAACAAUUUGUUUGCUUUGUUGGAGUAAACCUAUGGAAACUUGAUUUGGGGUUGUGCAUUUUUCUAAGGUAAUUUAUAGAUGGAACUGAACAUAUUAUAAUCUUCUCAUUAUAUACUAUGUUUAUCUGUCAAAUAUGCUGGAAAAAUUUGACAUGCAUAUAUGGCCUAUAUAUUUGUUUACAUUAAUAUAUUUUAAAUUAAAAAAACCAAACCAACUCAUUUGAAAAAAAAAUCCGAAUUAUGAGCUAGAUCAAACCAAAUGCACCAAUUUGGUUCAAUUUUAUUGUUGAGUUGGUUAAGUGUGAUGUACCUGCAUUGACAAUGGUCUUAUAGACUAGGUCGCUGUCUCUGCUGAAGUUUAUCAUAGUAUUUUUCACAUAUUUCUUUCUGCGUUGUGGCAAUCAUGUUGUGCAAUAUAUAUCGCGGGACAAAUCUGAUGAAGCUUCGGUCUGAAUAUAAAGAUGCUUUUGCAGAAAAGCAUGGCAUGAAGUUGGGUCUCAUGUCAGGUUUCGUUAAGGUCACUGUCUCUGGACUCCAGAACCAGCCAAUCAUCGAUUCAGUCAUCGACAGGGAUGAUAUUGUAUAUAGAGACUACAUUGACAUUAGUAUAGCUGUUGGCACACAGAAGAAAUACAAAAUGAGAUCAAUAACCUCGCAAGGAAGGAAACAAUAGACAAUAUCAAUAGAUGAAAUGGUGGAGUUUAUGGGAGUCUUCUGAGUACACAGAUAAUCAACCCCCACAAUCUGCCAUCUUAGGCAUGCACUCCAUAGUGUCCCGUCCAAUGGUGGUUGAUGGUAACAUUGUCCCCUGAUGUACAUAGCUGUCUUAUGAUCAUCGACUAAUCGAUGGCUGAUAAGCCGUAUUCUUCCUGCAACGUAUCAAAGAUGUGGUUGAAGAUCCACAUCGGCUUCUUCUCGACUUGUAGUCACAUUCAAAUACAGAGAGCACUUCAUUCGUCUGUCACUAGAUAAUUUUUACAUGAAACAAAAAUUUUUAUAGGCAUCUUUGUCUUCUAUAUUGUGUUUAGUAGGAGGUCUGUUCCGUGAUGAUUUCUAUAGUUAUUGAACUUUUAAGUUUUUGAA